CCCGCACAAGCGGUGGAGUAUGUGGUUUAAUUCGACGCAACGCGCAGAACCUUACCUAGACUUGACAUCCCGGGGAUUUUCUGGAAACAGAGAAGUGCUUUAGCAAUAAAGAACCCGGUGACAGGUGCUGCAUGGCUGUCGUCAGCUCGUGCCGUGAGGUGUCGGGUUAAGUCCCAUAACGAGCGCAACCCUUAUCGUUAGUUGCCAGCUGGUAAAGCAGGGGACUCUAGCGAAACUGCCACCGUAAGGUGAGAGGAAGGUGGGAUGACGUCAAAUCAGCACGGCCCUUAUGUCCAGGGCUACACACGUGUUACAAUGGCCGGCACAGAGGGCAGCUACCUGGUGACAGGAUGCUAAUCUCGAAAACCGGUCUCAGUUCGGAUCGAAGUCUGCAACUCGACUUCGUGAAGCUGGAUUCGCUAGUAAUCGCGCAUCAGCCAUGGCGCGGUGAAUACGUUCCCGGGCCUU
rnacentral:rRNA from 1 species